GAUUGAACAUUAGUACUGAUUUUACAAACAGAACAACAGAUUUCAAUGAUGGUGGCUAAACACAUCAGGAAGACAUUACUUUAUAUUUGUGCAUGGUAAAAGAACAGAUCGUUGUGCACUUUCUGGCUUAAUUGUCUAUGUAGAUCUUCGUCUUUUAUUGCUUGUCAAUAUAAACUAGAUUUUAAAGUAAAA